rnacentral:rRNA from 1 species
GAUGAACGCUGGCGGCGUGCCUAAUACAUGCAAGUCGAGCGAACGGACGAGAAGCUUGCUUCUCUGAUGUUAGCGGCGGACGGGUGAGUAACACGUGGAUAACCUACCUAUAAGACUGGGAUAACUUCGGGAAACCGUAGCUAAUACCGGAUAAUAUUUUGAACCGCAUGGUUCAAAAGUGAAAGACGGUCUUGCUGUCACUUAUAGAUGUAUCCGCGCUGCAUUAGCUAGUUGGUAAGGUAACGGCUUACCAAGGCAACGAUGCAUAGCCGACCUGAGAGGGUGAUCGGCCACACUGGAACUGAGACACGGUCCAGACGCCUACGGGAGGCAGCAGUAGGGAAUCUUCCGCAAUGGGCGAAAGCCUGACGGAGCAACGCCGCGUGAGUGAUGAAGGUCUUCGGAUCGUAAAGCUCUGUUAUUAGGGAAGAACAUAUGUGUAAGUAACUGUGCACAUCUUGACGGUACCUAAUCAGAAAGCCACGGCUAACUACGUG